rnacentral:rRNA from 1 species
GACGAACGCUGGCGGCGUGCUUAACACAUGCAAGUCGAACGAAGUGGCGAACGGGUGAGUAACGUGUAAUCACCCUGCCCUUCAGAGGGGGACAACAGUGGGAAACGACUGCUAAUCCCGCAUACUGAAGGAGGGGUUUGCGUCUGAUUAGGUCGUUGGAGGGGCAACGGCCCACCAAGGCGAUGAUCAGUAGCCGGGCUGAGAGGGUGAACGGCCAAAUUGGGACUGAGACACGGCCCAGACGCCUACGGGAGGCAGCAGUGGGGAAUCUUCCGCAAUGGACGGAAGUCUGACGGAGCAAAGCCGCGGUAGUGAUGACGGCCUUCGGGUUGGAAAGCUCUGUUAAUCGGGGCGCGGUACCGGAAGAGAAAGCCACGGCUAACUACGUGCCAGCAGCCGCGGUAAUAC